GAUGAACGCUGGCGGCGUGCUUAACACAUGCAAGUCGAACGGUGAACGAGGGAGCUUGCUCCCUCCGGAUCAGUGGCGAACGGGUGAGUAACACGUGAGUAACCUGCCCCAGACUCUGGGAUAACCCCGGGAAACCGGAGCUAAUACCGGAUAUGACAUGCCCCUGCAUGGGGAGUGUGUGGAAAGUUUUUCGGUCGGGGAUGGACUCGCGGCCUAUCAGCUUGUUGGUGAGGUAAUGGCUCACCAAGGCGACGACGGGUAGCCGGCCUGAGAGGGCGACCGGCCACACUGGGACUGAGACACGGCCCAGACUCCUACGGGAGGCAGCAGUGGGGAAUAUUGCACAAUGGGCGAAAGCCUGAUGCAGCGACGCCGCGUGAGGGAUGACGGCCUUCGGGUUGUAAACCUCUUUCAGCAGGGAAGAAGCGCAAGUGACGGUACCUGCAGAAGAAGCACCGGCUAACUACGUGCCAGCAGCCGCAGUAACAC
rnacentral:rRNA from 1 species